CUGUGCACCAUAGGGACUUCACCAAUG
rnacentral:piRNA from 1 species